rnacentral:rRNA from 1 species
AUACCUACGGGACGCAGCAGUGGGGGAUAUUGCACAAUGGGGGAGACCCUGAUGCAGCGACGCCGCGUGGGCGAAGAAGUAUUUCGGUAUGUAAAGCCCUAUCAGCAGGGAAGAAGAAAUGACGGUACCUGAGUAAGAAGCACCGGCUAAAUACGUGCCAGCAGCCGCGGUAAUACGUAUGGUGCAAGCGUUAUCCGGAAUGAUUGGGCGUAAAGGGUGCGCAGGCGGUCCUGCAAGUCUGGAGUGAAACGCAUGAGCUCAACUCAUGCAUUGCUUUGGAAACUG